rnacentral:rRNA from 1 species
GAUGAACGCUGGCGGCGUGCCUAAUACAUGCAAGUCGAGCGAACAGACGAGGAGCUUGCUCCUCUGACGUUAGCGGCGGACGGGUGAGUAACACGUGGAUAACCUACCUAUAAGACUGGGAUAACUUCGGGAAACCGGAGCUAAUACCGGAUAAUAUAUUGAACCGCAUGGUUCAAUAGUGAAAGACGGUUUUGCUGUCACUUAUAGAUGGAUCCGCGCCGCAUUAGCUAGUUGGUAAGGUAACGGCUUACCAAGGCAACGAUGCGUAGCCGACCUGAGAGGGGGACGGGCCAAACUGGAACUGAGACACGGCCCAGACCCCUACGGGGGGCAGCAGUAGGGAAUUUUCCCAAAUGGGGGAAAGCCUGACGGAGCAACGCCGGGUGGGUGAUGAAGGUCUUCGGAUCGUAAAACUCUGUUAUUAGGGAAAAAAAAAUGUGUAAGUAACUAUGCACGUCUUGAGGGUACCUAACCAGAAAGCCCCGGCUAACUACGU